rnacentral:rRNA from 1 species
UACGGGGGGGGUAAGCGUUGUUCGGAAUUACUGGGCGUAAAGCGCGCGCAGGCGGCUAUCCAAGUCAGUGGUGAAAGCCCGGAGCUCAACUCCGGAACUGCCAUUGAAACUGUUUAGCUUGAGGAUGAGAGAGGUGAGUGGAAUUCCCGGUGUAGAGGUGAAAUUCGUAGAUAUUGGGAAGAACACCGGUGGCGAAGGCGGCUCACUGGCUCAUUACUGACGCUCAGGCGCGAUAGCGUGGGGAUCAAACAGG